rnacentral:rRNA from 1 species
UACAGAGGUCUCAAGCGUUGUUCGGAUUUACUGGGCGUAAAGGGCGCGCAGGCGGCGCAUUUUGUCAGGCGUGAAAGCCCCGGGCUUAACCUGGGAACUGCGUUUGAUACGGAUGGGCUAGAGUUCGGGAGAGGAGAGUGGAAUUCCCAGUGUAGAGGUGAAAUUCGUAGAUAAUUGGGAAGAACACCGGUGGCGAAGGACGGCUCUCUGGACCG